AUACGUAGGUGACAAGCGUUAUCCGGAUUUACUGGGCGUAAAGGGCGUGUAGGCGGUCUUGCAAGUCAGAAGUGAAAUUCCUGAGCUCAACUCGGGCGCUGCUUCUGAAACUGCAGGACUUGAGUGCUGGAGGGGAUAGCGGAAUUCCUAGUGGAGCGGUAAAAUGCGCAGAUAUUAGGAAGAACACCGGUGGCGAAGGCGGCUAUCUGGACAGUAACUGACGCUGAGGCGCGAAAGCGUGGGGAGCAAACAGGAUUAGAUACCCUGGUAGGCCACGCCGUAAACGAUGAAUACUAGGUGUAGGGGGUAUCGACUCCCUCUGUGCCGCAGUUAACACAAUAAGUAUUCCGCCUGGGGAGUACGGCCGCAAGGUUGAAACUCAAAUGAAUUGGCGGGG
rnacentral:rRNA from 1 species